rnacentral:rRNA from 1 species
UCUCGAGGGAGCCCGCCGCGUGAGUGACGAAGGGUUUCGGCUCGUAGAGCUCUGUUGUUAAAGAACAACGUGGGUAAGAGUAACUGUUUACCCAGUGACGGUAUUUAACCAGAAAGCCACGGCUAACUACCUGCCAUCAGCCGCGGUAAUACGUAGGUGGAAAGCGUUAUCCGGAUUUAUUGGGCGUAAAGCGAGCGCAGGCGGUCUUUUAAGUCUAAUGUGAAAGCCUUCGGCUCAACCGAAUAAGUGCAUUGGAAACUGGGAGACUUGAGUGCAGAAGAGGACAGUGUAACUCCAUGUGUAGCGGUGAAAUGCGUAAAUAUAUGGAAGAACACCAGUGGCGAAGGCGGCUGUCUGGGCUGCCACUGACGCUGAGGCUCCAAAGCAUGGGUAGCGAACAGGAUUAGAUACCCUGGUAGUCCAUGCCGUAAACAAUGAUUACUAAAUGUUGUAGGGUUUCCGCCCUUCAGUGCUGCAGCUAAGGCAUUAAUUAAUCCGCCUGGGGAGUACGACCGCAAGGUUGAAACUCAAGAGAAUUGACGGGGGCCCGCACUAGCGGUGGAGCAUGUGGUUUAAUUCGAAGCUACGCAAAGAACCUUACCAGGUCUUGACAUCUUCUGACAGUCUAAGAGAUUAGAGGUUCCCUUCGGGGACAGAAUGACAGGUGGUGCAUGGUUGUCGUCAGCUCGUGUCGUGAGAUGUUGGGGUAAGUCCCGCAACUAGCGCAACCCACUAUUACUAGAUGCCAGCAUGAUGUUGGGCACUCUAGUGAGACUGCCCGUGACAAACCGGGAGGAAAGUGGGGACUACUUCAAAUCAUCAUGCCCCUUAUGACCUGGGCUACACACGUGCUACAAAGGAUGGUACCACGAGUCGAGAGACCGCGAGGUUAAGCUAAUCUCAUCAAAACCAUUCUCAGUACGGACUGUAGGCUAGCUACUCGUCCUACACGAAGUCAGGAAUAGCUAGCUAAUCGCUGUAUCGCAUGCUACCGAUAGAAUGCGUACACUGAGUACUUGUACCUCACGUCCGUCAUAACAAUGAGAGCUAGAAUAGCGAAGGCUGUGUCGCUAACCAUGUAGGGAGCUAGCCCG